rfam:Nannochloropsis gaditana mitochondrion, complete genome.
GUUCCUUUCGUCUAGUGGUUAGGACAUUGCCCUUUCACGGCAAUAACACGGGUUCGAAUCCCGUAAGGAAUA